rnacentral:rRNA from 1 species
AACGAACGCUGGCGGCAGGCUUAACACAUGCAAGUCGAACGCCCCGCAAGGGGAGUGGCAGACGGGUGAGUAACGCGUGGGAAUCUACCUAGUUCUACGGAACAACUGAGGGAAACUUCAGCUAAUACCGUAUACGCCCCAAGGGGGAAAGAUUUAUCGGAAUUAGAUGAGCCCGCGUUGGAUUAGCUAGUUGGUGGGGUAAUGGCCUACCAAGGCGACGAUCUAUAGCUGGUCUGAGAGGAUGAUCAGCCACACUGGGACUGAGACACGGCCCAGACUCCUACGGGAGGCAGAAGUGGGGAAUAUUGGACAAUGGGCGCAAGCCUGAUCCAGCCAUGCCGCGUGAGUGAUGAAGGCCUUAGGGUUGUAAAGCUCUUUCAGUGGGGACGAUAAUGACGGUACCACAGAAGAAGCCCCGGCUAACUUCGUGCCAGCCGCCGCCGUAACAC